rnacentral:rRNA from 1 species
CACGUAGGUAACCUGCCCACUGUGCCCGGGAUAACUUCUGGAAACGGAUGCUAAAACCGGAUAGGUAGCAGACAAGCAUUUGACUGCUAUUAAAGUGGCUAAGGCCAUGAACAUGGAUGGACCUGCGGUGCAUUAGCUAGUUGGUGAGGUAACGGCCCACCAAGGCGACGAUGCAUAGCCGGCCCUGAGAGGGCGGACGGCCACAUUGGGACUGAGACACGGCCCAGACUCCUACGGGAGGCAGCAUG